rnacentral:lncRNA from 1 species
UCAACUCUUGCCUCUGGUCCCCUUGGACAAAGUCCAGCCUCCACUGUCACCAAAGGCACUUUUGUAACUGCACACCAGUUUCUUCCAGAAUCCCAGCUGUCACUGGUUGGAAGAGACAAUGGAAGCUUUAUGGCUUUCCAGGAUCUUGGAAAGAGGAAACAGCUUUGUGUCUGCCCUCAGCUGCUUUCUCCCCAGCCUUCUGGGUGGGGCAGGGGGCUCUGGGUGAGAGGGGAGCUCGGCCUGAAGGCGAAGCAGCCACCAAGCCCAGGUUUGGCCAGGAGAACCUCCCUCUGAAGUUGGUUCUCAGUCCAGAAACUUCUACCGUUUCACUCCAGAGACUCAAUUUCACAGCUUAGAAGAUUUUCUCCCCGAGCCCUUCAGCCCACUUCUCCUGUGUCGGAGAGAUGCUGUUCCAGCCUGUCUGGGGCCACUGAACUACAACGGCAUCCUGAAAGUGGUCCGUGUUUCUGUGGGAGUGAAGGCGUUGGAAACAACCCACGCACCUGGGCAGUGUCCUCCAUUGUCUCUUAGCACUUGGGCUCCCUCACGGGAGAAGGCAGGACGGC